AUUGAACGCUGGCGGCAGGCCUAACACAUGCAAGUCGAGCGGAUGAAGGGAGCUUGCUCCUGGAUUCAGCGGCGGACGGGUGAGUAAUGCCUAGGAAUCUGCCUGGUAGUGGGGGAUAACGUCCGGAAACGGGCGCUAAUACCGCAUACGUCCUGAGGGAGAAAGUGGGGGAUCUUCGGACCUCACGCUAUCAGAUGAGCCUAGGUCGGAUUAGCUAGUUGGUGGGGUAAAGGCCUACCAAGGCGACGAUCCGUAACUGGUCUGGGAGGAUGAUCAGUCACACUGGAACUGAGACACGGUCCAAACUCCUACGGGAGGCAGCAGUGGGGAAUAUUGGACAAUGGGCGAAAGCCUGAUCCAGCCAUGCCGCGUGUGUGAAGAAGGUCUUCGGAUUGUAAAGCACUUUAAGUUGGGAGGAAGGGCAGUAAGUUAAUACCUUGCUGUUUUGACGUUACCAACAGAAUAAGCACCGGCUAACUUCGUG
rnacentral:rRNA from 1 species